GAUGAACGCUAGCUACAGGCUUAACACAUGCAAGUCGAGGGGCAGCACAAGGCAGCAAUGCUGAGGUGGCGACCGGCGCACGGGUUCGUAACGCGUAUCCAACCUUCCCGUUACUCUUGGAUAGCCUUCCGAAAGGGAGAUUAAUACAAGAUGGUGUUGAAAUUCCGCAUGUUAUUUCAACUAAAGAUUUAUCGGUAACGGAUGGGGAUGCGUGACAUUAGAUAGUAGGCGGGGUAACGGCCCACCUAGUCUACGAUGUCUAGGGGUUCUGAGAGGAAGGUCCCCCACACUGGAACUGAGACACGGUCCAGACUCCUACGGGAGGCAGCAGUGAGGAAUGUUGGUCAAUGGCCGGAAGGCUGAACCAGCCAAGUAGCGUGAAGGAUGAAGGUUCUAUGGAUUGUAAACUUCUUUUAUACGGGAAUAAAACCUCCCACGUGUGGGAGCUUGUAUGUACCGUAUGAAUAAGCAUCGGCUAACUCCGUGCCAGCCGCCGCCGUAAAAC
rnacentral:rRNA from 1 species